UGACCUGUGUUUGUUAUUGUUUUCGUCGAGGAGGUGGUAGAUGUUGCACUUGCAUGGAGCUGUUGUAGUACUUCAGUAAUAGGCUAUUGUGAUUUGUAAGAGAUGAAAACCGGUACGCAGGAACGCAAAAUUGUUGGAGAAAAAUCAGGAACGUAAUAUGCAUUCGUAUUCUGGGAGGCAAACAAGCUGAUCGAAGAUGAUUGUGGCUUCUUCAAAUGUAACUAUCGUUUAAACACGUUGAGAUGUUAAGUAAUGGAGUUGUUGAACUUUAUUUUGUGUCACUGAAGUUUAUAGCGAAAACCUCGCUAAAAAAAAGGAAGAGAAAUGCAGCAAAACUGGAGAUACAGUGGGAAAUUCGCAUUUGCAAAACAAGAUGCUGAAAUAGGAGGUGUAAUAAGUGAUGUAGUGGUCACCAUAUUGUAUGUGUUUGAAAUAGUGCACACUAUGUUGAUGGCAUUACUGGUCAAAACAGGCAAGUGGAGUCAUGACUUUACGUCAACCUACCUUUUAUAAUUGAGAAGUCGAUCACUUUAUAUAAACUGAAUUUGUUCUAUGGAUAUAUUUUCUGUGUGUUUUGAUUAGUUAAAAAUAAUGCUGUGUUCAAAGGACCAUUGUUCUGUUUCUAUCAAAAUGGUGUAGAUUACACUGAUUUUACACUCUGUGUCUUUUUUUGUGUUUAUGGUUACACACUGGCUAUUGACAGAUUUCCAGCCAGCUUAUUGGCAGAAAAGUAAUAAUAAUGAACAUAUUGGUCUCUGUCACUACUUGUGUUACUGUUAUGGAAUGUUGACAUCUACUUCUAAAUAGCACAAGCAAUCAUUGUAGUCUUUUAUACCACAAUGUUUUUGUUAAAUAUCCAUCUUUAGAGCAGAAGUUACCAGAAGAAGCAAUUUCAGUUCAUAUUUAAAUUUUUGUAAAGUUUUACAGCAGCCAGUUGCCUUUGGUUUUAUUCUUCAGUUUCUAUUUACCAUGACUGUUUUAAAUUGACAAGUGGUUUAUCAUCAGAUAGUACAUAUUUAUUGCAUAUUUGCAGCAUUCUUGUGGCUCAUGUAGUUAUGGCGAGAGAACGAAACGUAUACACACCGAAUGUGGUGAGAAGUAUGUACAGUUCAUGCCUGGCCACAGCUGCACAACUCCAACAAUGCUGCAAACAUGCAAUAAAUAUGUACCAUCUGAUGAUACUGAUUCAAAACAGAUCUUGGUAAAUAAAGAUUGAAAAAUAAUACAAAACGUGGCUGACAGUAAUUUCUGGAAAGUUUUUUUUUUCCCACCUCGCAGAUUAUAUUAGUGGAAAAAAUAAUAGAAAUUUUUUGUGGCUAUUGUGAACCUUUGGCAGACUUAGUGAUAAACAAUUAUUAUAUUUUUCUAAAUUUUGAUUAAAAUAACCUCUUGGUUGACAGAUAGCAAUGAUGGCGCAGGGUUGUUUGUUACAUAGGCCUACAUCAUUCCACAUACUUAGAAUGAGUAAGAGCUGCACAUGCAAUGCAAAUAGAUCAAAACAUAUGUUCAGAUUACUUUUAUUGUUGUCAUUGUCAGUAGCAGUGGGAAGUACAUCAGUGGGGAUGGUGGAUAGGGCAACAGUUGGCUUUUGCCUUCCUGUACAUUGUACUGCGGCUGAGAAAGCUGUGUGGUGCCUAGAAAAAAUCAGUCAUUAUAGUGGGCACAUAGGUGUCAAGAACUGCAGUUGGCUGACUCUUAGCCACUGCUACAAUCACAGAAUUAUUUUAGUCUAGGCGUAAUGUGGUAGUGAAAAAUCAGUUAAAGCUGAAAUUUGAUUUGCACUAUCGAAACAAGACAGAAAUAUAACUUUUGUGUAAACUUUGCAUCCUUAACUAAGAUGUACUAUGGUAUGAAGAUAUUUGAGAAGCUCAAAUCUAACAUACAAGAAGUAAUUAGUAUCUCAGCAAAUUCAAAGGAAAAUUUAAAACACAUCUCAUUAGUGACUCCAGCCACUGAUUAUCUUAGUGCAAGGAUU